AGCGCCGGGGCCUGGCCGGCCAUGGCGGAGGUGGGCCGGGCGGCCGUGCGCGACCCGGGUGCGCUGCUCCCCGGGGGCUUCUGGGCGGCGGUGGCCGUGUGGCUGGAGAGGCCGCAGGUGGCCAACAAGCGGCUGUGUGGCGUCCGCCUGGAGGCCCGGCGGAGUGUUGCUGAGCCCCGGGCGGAGGACUGCGGGCCUCGGCCCAACGCCGGCCGGGAGCAGGAGGAGCGGGCCGCGGCCGCCCCGGGUCUGCGCCCCCCGGAUGGGGGCCUGGGUCCCGGGCCGAGCUCGGGCCCCGACCUGGGCGCGCCUCGGCUCGCGGGGGGCCCCGGGCAGCCCCGCGAGCCGGGGGUCGGGGACGCCGAUUUCCCGGCCUCGGAUCUGGAGUCCGCCUGGGACGCUUGCUCUCGAAGCCUCGCCGGCGGCGGCCCGGAGGUGCUGGCCUUCCUCGCCGGGUCCCCGGUGGGGUCGCAGCCAGGGGCGCCCCGCGAGCUGGACCUCGUUCUCAGAACCGUCAUCCCGAAAACAGGCCCGCACUGCCCGCUUGCCGUUCCCAGGAGGGAAAUGGUCGUGCGAGAUGUCCUCAAUGGAACAGUAACAUUUUUACCUUUGGAAGAAGACGACAGAGGGAAUUUAAAGGUUGAGACAAGCAACGCGUAUCAAAUCCGGCUCAGUCAGAGCAGAGAAGAAUGGUUUAUAUCUAUUUUAAUUUUCUGUCCAGAAAGAUGGCAUUCAGAUGGCAUUAUUUAUCCCAGACCCAGUUGGCUGGGAGAAGAGCUGCUGCCCAGGCUGGCCAGGUGGUCUGUGGACAGCAAGAAGAGCGGAUUUAAAAGCACCCUGUCCCUCAUUUCCAUCAUCAAAUACAGCAAGACUUACCAGAUGCUCAAGGAGAAGUAUAAAGACAUGGUCAAGGAAUGGCCUGAAGUAACUGAUCCGGAAAAGUUUGUGUACGAAGAUGUGGCUCUUGCUGCCUACCUGCUGGUUUUGUGGGAAGAGGAGCGAGAGGAGCAGGGCUUGACAGCCAAGCAGUCCUUUGUUGACUUAGGAUGUGGUAACGGUCUCCUGGUCCACAUCCUGAGCACUGAGGGGCAUCCAGGCAGAGGGAUUGAUGUACGAAGAAGAAAAAUCUGGGACAUGUAUGGACCACAGACUUGCUUAGAGGAAGAUGCAAUCACACCAAAUGAUAAGACCUUGUUCCCUGACGUUGAUUGGUUAAUUGGUAACCAUUCUGAUGAAUUGACACCAUGGAUACCUGUCAUUGCAGCCAGGUCUUCCUACGGCUGCCGCUUCUUUGUCCUCCCCUGCUGCUUCUUUGACUUCAUUGGAAAAUACUCCCGGAGGCAGAGCAGGAAGACUCAGUACCGGGAGUACCUUGAUUUCAUCACAGAAGUGGGGCUGGCCUGCGGGUUUCACGUUGAGGAGGACUGCCUUCGCAUUCCCUCCACCAAAAGGGUUUGUCUCAUUGGGAAAUCCAGAACAUACUCACCUGCUAGAGAAGUUUCCAUGGAUAAGCAGAGAACCCAGUAUAUUAACAGCAGGCGGGGCCACCUUGCCAGCCCAUCCGGCGAGACGCCUGCCUCUCUUCCACCCCGGGCUGCUGUGGGACAUGAGGGUCACCCCAACGGGCACCGGGCCCUGGACGUUGGGGCUGCCGAGGGAGGAGCAGAGGCCCCGGCUGAUGAACUCUGGCUGUCUGGAUUUCAACCUAGAGAAAAAGUUGAGCGCCUGAGGAACUGUGCCACCCUCCCUCGAGAUUUUAUUGACCAAGUGGUCUUGCAAGUGGCACAUUUGCUGUUGGACAGAGAGGAGCAGAUAAGCAUAGGAGAUGCUUCCAGCGGCAGCUCGAAGGCCUGGAACCGAGGAGGAUGAGUAAUGUGCUGAAAUCAGUGGUGUUCAAGAGAGAUGGGGGCCAAAGUGUGGACUGUUCCUGCUUCUGUAAAGUGUCCAGUCUCAGGCGGCUUGCUGGGCCCCAGCUGGUUUCUUCCCUGCCUCCGCUCACGGCUGAGAUGUUGACUGGCGACACCAGAGGGCGCUGUGGAGCUGGCUGUGCUGGGCAGUGCCAGAGAUUUGCCUGAGGUUUUGGGGUCAUUGGGGGGUCUAGGGGAGCCCUCUCUCAGCCUGUCAAAGGCUGCUGCCUGGCUGGCCCUGUGAGUGGGGGGCCAAGGAGGAGGCGGCAAGCCUGUCCUCCCCCACCCAUGAUUCUGUCCUGCCCUGAGCCUCCAUAGCCCUCGUGCACUUGCCACGCGGGAGUGCUGUGGAGCAUCUCCCCUUCUCUGCGAAUUACCCGAUGCUGGUGGUGUCUGAUGGAGGUGGGGGCUCUCCAGGGAUGUAGGGGCAACCCUGGCCAGAGCCCCCAACUCCAGGGGCCUGACCAUACGUGUAACUGGGCACCAACCCUGAGGCACCAUGGGCUGCCCUGUGGGUUGGCACCCCACUUCCUGCUGAGGUGGGGCCCAAGUGGAGAGGAAGGCAAGCUGAGGGGGAUUUCCAAUGGGGCCUCGAGUGCCAAGGAGCCCGCAGCAGGUGAGCAGGCGCCUCAGAGUCGUUUGAGGGCGUCUGAGAAUGUGGAGUUUGACCUUCAGACCACAGGAAUGAUUGAGCUCAGGAGGGGCUUGCCUGUGCCUGGGACAGAACUUUCUUGCACUAGGGUAGACCAGGUCUUCUAGGCUCAGACGUAGAUGUGAGUGGCUCUGAUCAUUAGGUCUCAGGUGUCAGGCCUGCUCACCCAUGAGAAACAUCCCAGAGCGGGGGGUGCCAUCCUCCCCACAUGGGUCUUGUUGCCCCGGAGCUGGCCGGAGGUGCUCUCGUGCGGUGGACAUGUGCCCACAGGCUCCUGCCCUCAGGUGGUCUUCCCACCUUUUGGUUGCUGGAAUUUAGUGACCCGUCUGAAACCUGCCCUUAUAUAAUGUAUGGGUGGGUCUGUCCCCAGGACCUCAGUGAUCUCAGUCCAGGGGUCUUCCCUCUGCAAGGCAUGGGUGAGGGAGCACAGGGCAGGAGGAGGUGGUCCCUGCCCUCACAACUGAGUCAACACACACACGACAGAGGAUGAGCACCUGGGAGGUCGCAGUGCAGAGCUGUGUGUGUGAGCACCAGCGUCCAGGGACUUGUGUGGGGCCAGACCAGGAGGGGCAAGGACGGCUGUCUGGGCCGGUUUUAGCCUUUUCCUUAGAUGUGCUGCUUGCUCUUGGAACGUGGUGGAGGCAGCUGAGAGGUGCAUCCUGAAGGUCAGCUAGGCUUGGUAGAUGGAAUCCCAGCCACAGGGUGGCUGCUCCCUGGGGGUCUGGGGCUGGGCCUCUAGAGUCUGUGUCUGGGAGGCAGGGGUGUCUCAGCUGGCUUACAGAGUCUCUGGGUGGGCAUAGGUGAGCCCCCAGGCAUGGGGCCUGGCAGAUGCAAAGUCCCUGGCAUCCCAGAUGGUGCUGGCUUGGCCCCUGCAGUUCCAGCUAGGUGCUAUGUGGUAUGGGCUCGCUCAGAGUGCAGGUAAAUCUCACGGCCUGCCCUGCUGACGUGCGUGAGAGACUGGGGUUGGCUGGACGAGAACUGGUCCCUGGGCCAAGCAGUGGGCGGGCUUGUUGGACAGUCUCUUAACGGCCUUUACAUUGUUAUUGUUGGGGAAACCCGGGUUUCAGGAAGCCUCUCCUUGACAGAAGUGGCCAAUGAGCUGGACCCAGAGACACUGCAGAGGUUGAAGCGGGAGUGUGGAGGCCUACAGACACUGCUCAGAAACAACCAUCAGGUGUUUGAAGUUCUGAAUGGGCGAGUUCACAUUCGUGACUGG